UGCUUGCACCUGAUUGACAUUGGAUCACCAGUGAGUGGCGGACGGGUGAGUAACACGUAGGUAACCUGCCCCGGAGCGGGGGAUAACAUUUGGAAACAGAUGCUAAUACCGCAUAACAGCGAAAGCCACAUGGCUUUUGUUUGAAAGAUGGCUUUGGCUAUCACUCUGGGAUGGACCUGCGGUGCAUUAGCUAGUUGGUAAGGUAACGGCUUACCAAGGCGAUGAUGCAUAGCCGAGUUGAGAGACUGAUCGGCCACAAUGGAACUGAGACACGGUCCAUACUCCUACGGGAGGCAGCAGUAGGGAAUCUUCCACAAUGGGCGCAAGCCUGAUGGAGCAACACCGCGUGAGUGAAGAAGGGUUUCGGCUCGUAAAGCUCUGUUGUUGGAGAAGAACGUGCGUGAGAGUAACUGUUCACGCAGUGACGGUAUCCAACCAGAAAGUCACGGCUAACUACGUGCCAGCAGCCGCGGUAAUACGUAGGUGGCAAGCGUUAUCCGGAUUUAUUGGGCGUAAAGCGAGCGCAGGCGGUUGCUUAGGUCUGAUGUGAAAGCCUUCGGCUUAACCGAAGAAGUGCAUCGGAAACCGGGCGACUUGAGUGCAGAAGAGGACAGUGGAACUCCAUGUGUAGCGGUGGAAUGCGUAGAUAUAUGGAAGAACACCGGUGGCGAAGGCGGCUGUCUGGUCUGCAACUGACGCUGAGGCUCGAAAGCAUGGGUAGCGAACAGGAUUAGAUACCCUGGUAGUCCAUGCCGUAAACGAUGAGUGCUAGGUGUUGGAGGGUUUCCGCCCUUCAGUGCCGGAGCUCACGCAUUAAGCACUCCCCC
rnacentral:rRNA from 1 species